rnacentral:misc_RNA from 1 species
GGAGGUAAAAGUCGUAACAAGGUUUCCGUAGGUGAACCUGCGGAAGGAUCAUUAUCAUGUAAUUCAGUCCCCUUGGCUGUGUUAUAUAUAUACCCACUCUGUGUACCUUCUCCUGUUGCUUCCGCUGGGUGUGUAAUUCGCCCGGCGGAAGGGUAAAAAUAACCUCUGAGUAUUGAUGAAAUCUCUGUCUGAACCGAAUAGAAAGAAAAAUGUUAAAACUUUCAGCAACGGAUCUCUUGGCUCUC